rnacentral:rRNA from 1 species
UACGAAGGGUGCAAACGUUGCUCGGAAUUAUUGGGCGUAAAGCGCACGUAGGCGGCUUAGCAAGUCGGAUGUGAAAGCCCCUCGGCUCAACCUCCAGCCUGCAGUGGGUACGGGCAGACUAGAGUGCGGUAGGGGGAGAUUGGAAUUCCUGGUGUAGCGGUGGAAUGCGCAGAUAUCAGGAGGAACACCGAUGGCGAAGGCAGAUCUCUGGGCCGUAACUGACGCUGAGGAGCGAAAGCAUGGGGAGCGAACAGG